rfam:Equus caballus chromosome 23, whole genome shotgun sequence.
GAAAGAGUUCAGGCUGGGACAUCUGUUAUCCCAUUGAUCACCAGGGUUAAUUUGGUUAAUUUGGCAUGGUAUUCUGGAUGGUUUUCCUCUUCCUGCCUCGCUCCUCCAUUGAUAUCGUCCCUUGGCCAAAUAGAAUGACCUAUCCAAGAGAAGAAGAUGAUCUUUGGCCAAUAGUAUAAGAAUUGUGGACCUCCCUUGCUGGAAUCACCAAGCUGCCUCCAAUGUGUACUGCAGUGUUGUUUUUCUUUUCAUAAUACUGUCCCCUUUUGACAACCAAAACCCAGAGACAACAGAGUGUCUAUUUGA